CAAACCUUGAUGUUAGGGAUGCAAAGACACUCAUAAGAAUUGUGGGUUUGUCUUUACUCACACUUUGGGGGACUGGCUGAAAUAACAAAACAAAACAAGGAGACCUUACCCGUAAGUGAAAGGGACUCUGUGUUAACUGUCAAUCGAAUCAACAUAUGAAAUAUGUGAAGGGAUUAUAGCCCAUCGGGGCAAGCAGGUCAAACGUUUAUGGCAGGAUUGAACCAAAUGGUAAAGAGAACCAAAUGGCUUUGACCUCCGUAAAGAACAGAAUGUGAGUGCACCCACGGUCUCUACGUAGAGGGAUUUCUGCAUUGUUUGCCAUGACUGGUUUAGCGAGCAGAAGGUUCCCGGUUUCUGUAUAAUUCAUGUGCUUUCAUUACCUUUAAACUGGGUUAAAAUGAAAGUGUAUAGGCUCUUAAACGUCAAGAUCAUAACUUGCUAAUGAAGUUGGGAAUUAUCCAGAAGAAAACUGCACAAGCACAUGCCCAAAGGUUCAGAUCCGACUGAAGGAGAAGACCUGGGUUUUCAUCUUGAUUCGGCCAACUCCAGCUGUGCGAUCUGGAAUAAGCCAACCUCUCAAAGCCUCCAUUUCACCAUUUGUUAUCCGGGCAAAAUGAGGCGGAGGGCCGUGCCCAUGUCAGAGGUGACGAGCCGCAGCACCACGUUCCACAGGGACAGUCCACAAAGAGAGGACCCGUGGGAGGCCACCACUGGUUUUGCAGGACAUUUAGCUUUGCCACCCAAAGCCAUUCAGAGAAGCCGCAGGGUUGAGUGGAUGGAAUUGAGAAUGAGGAGUCAACGUGUUCCUUUUCUAGUUGUGAUUCUUUGGUUAAUUCUCUCACUUGAAGCUCUCUUCACUUCAAAUCAAAUAAAAA